GUGAAAGAUUGUUCUUGUAUUUAUCCUGGCAAUUUUAGACCACAGUCAAAACAUGAUAGGUACAAGAAUGAGGAGAAAUCUGUGAACAAGAUUCAAAAGAAGCAAGAGAUUAAUAGAAAACCAAGAAAAUUGGUGUCAAGAAGAAAACGAAGGAUUCAAGUGAACAAAACAUUUUAAAAAUGAAUUCACCAUGGACCCAG
rnacentral:lncRNA from 1 species